UACGAGGGGGGCAAAUGUUGUUCGGAAUCACUGGGCGUAAAGGGAGCGUAGGCGGGUGUUUAAGUUAGGUGUUUAAUCCUGGGGCCCAACCCCAGUCGUGCACCUAAAACUGGACAUCUUGAAUAGUGGAGAGGUCAGUGGAAUUGGGGGUGUAGCGGUGGAAUGCGUAGAGAUCCCCAAGAACACCAGUUGCGAAGGCGGUUCUCUGGGCAUGUCCUGACGCUGAGGAGCGAAAGUGUGGGGAGCGAACAGG
rnacentral:rRNA from 1 species